rnacentral:rRNA from 1 species
AUUGAACGCUGGCGGCAGGCCUAACACAUGCAAGUCGAGCGGCAGCGGAAGGAAGCUUGCUUCCUUGCCGGCGAGCGGCGGACGGGUGAGUAAGGUAUGGGGAUCUGGCCGAAGGCGGGGGAUAACCACUGGAAACGGUGGCUGAUACCGCAUAAUCUCUAAGGAGCAAAGUGGGGGACCGUUCAGGCCUCACACCUUCGGAUGAACCCAUAUGAAAUUAGCUAGUAGGUGGGGUAAUGGCUCACCUAGGCGACGAUCUCUAGCUGGUCUGGGAUGAUGCUCAGCCACACUGGGACUGAGACACGGCCCAGACUCCUACGGGAGGCAGCAGUGGGGAAUAUUGCACAAUGGGCGCAAGCCUGAUGCAGCCAUGCCGCGUGUAUGAAGAAGGCCUUCGGGUUGUAAGGUACUUUCAGUCGUGAGGAAGGUGUUAAGGUUAAUAACCUUAGCAAUUGACGUUAGCGACAGAAGAAGCACCGGCUAACUCCGUGCCAGCCGCCGCCGUAA